GGGGGAACGGGGCAGCAAUGAGACUCAGCGAGAACCCUGACCUCCGCGUCCGAGAGAGCGGCCGUCCCUCCUGUCCAGCAUCUGUGCUAGGCCGCGCCACUUCCUCCAAGGUAAGUAACAGCAGGCUCUGUUUCACCAACUCUGAGUGUGCUGGUCAGUGUUGGCGAUAAGUAAGUCUCCGUUGGGGGAAAAUUAGGAGCGCUUGGUGUCGGCUCAUUGUAAGCUGUGAGAGGAGCCCACUAGAUAUGCGACUGGCUGCCAUGGAGUUCGGGCCCCGGCCCCCAAACCUGGAGUUUUAACAAAUGUAUAUAUCUAAGCUCCAAAACAUCAUUCAGCCUGGCUUCAAAAUCUGUAUCUAUGCACUGACUCAGGUAAAAACUGAUUAUUG